ACUCAUAGGUCCCACCUGACUCCCUCCUUUUGAACAUAUUUGAUUGCCACAGAGCCAGUGAUAGUGCUACAGAUGCGAAUGGUUUCAGCUCAGUGUCUCAAGCAGAGGCGUGAGCGACUCGUAGCAAGUGCCUUCCAACUUCAGUUCCAUCCAAAUGCAAACUGUUCAGCAACAUCAUGAAUUGCCCUGAAAUCUACUCUUGAGACCGAUUUCCACAAGGGAGCGACGGCUGGAGGAAUUGAUCAUAUCCAGCCGUAUCAGAACUCGACCAUGCAAGUCAAGAAACCCAGAGGCCGUUGCUAAUGAACAUUGAUAAUCGUUAUAAAGCAGCAUCCUUGGAAGA